rnacentral:tRNA from 1 species
GCCGCAGUCGUCUAGGGGUCAGGACAUAAGCUUGUGGAAAUUUGUCUACAAAGCGCUUGAAACCGAGGUUCGAGUCCUCGCUGCGGCA